ensembl:snRNA U6 U6 spliceosomal RNA
GUGCUCGCUUCGGCAGCACAUUACUAACAUUGGAACUAUACAGAGAAGAUUGUUAGCAUAGCCCCUGCGCAAGGAUGAUGCGCAAAUUCGUGAUGCAUUCCAUAUUUUU